GUCCAAAGCAGGACUGUCUGAUAGAAUGUUCCAGGAGAACAGAACAUCCCCUAUGGCAACCACCAGCCAGAUGUGGCUACUGAGCUCUUGAGAUGUGGCUAGUAUGACUGAAGAAUUGAAUUUUGAAAAGAUUUAAUUUAUGAUAACUGAAACUUAAAUCUAAAAGGCCACAAGGAUCUGGCGAUUACCAUAUAAAACAGCACAGAGGGAAAGGGACACGUGUAGAUACUGACAUCGCUGCUGGGUGAAGCCUCCAGAUGGAGUCUCACUCUGUUGCCCGGGCUGAAGUUCAGUGGUACAAUCUCAGCUCACUGACACCUCUGCCUACCAAGUUCAAGUGAUGAUGGCUAUAACAGACAAUGAUACCUAUGAGUAUGCAGAAACAUAAUGUAAAGCACAGGAGGUAGAGGGACCUCUAAUGGCUUCAUCUGCUCCUGAAAUACAUCUCUCCAGACCUGAUAUUACACAUUGACUGCCAGGGUUGUUCUUCCAAGUGACUACAGACAUUGCUCCUUAUCUCCAGCUAAAUAGCUCAUGUUUACUGAGCACUUAUUAUGUGCUAAGCAUUCUGCUUGGAUUUUUCUCAUUAAAUACGUCACACAGCCUUAUGAAAUUGAUGCUUUUAUUAUACCUGAUUGAAAGGUGGGAACACUGAGGGUUAGGAGAUUUAAAUGACAGCUAAUAAGUGGUU